GACGAACGCUGGCGGCGUGCCUAAUACAUGCAAGUAGAACGCUGAAGAGAGGAGCUUGCUCUUCUUGGAUGAGUUGCGAACGGGUGAGUAACGCGUAGGUAACCUGCCUUGUAGCGGGGGAUAACUAUUGGAAACGAUAGCUAAUACCGCAUAACAAUGGAUGACACAUGUCAUUUAUUUGAAAGGGACAAUUGCUCCACUACAAGAUGGACCUGCGUUGUAUUAGCUAGUAGGUGAGGUAACGGCUCACCUAGGCGACGAUACAUAGCCGACCUGAGAGGGUGAUCGGCCACACUGGGACUGAGACACGGCCCAGACUCCUACGGGAGGCAGCAGUAGGGAAUCUUCGGCAAUGGGGGCAACCCUGACCGAGCAACGCCGCGUGAGUGAAGAAGGUUUUCGGAUCGUAAAGCUCUGUUGUAAGUCAAGAACGAGUGUGAGAGUGGAAAGUUCACACUGUGACGGUAGCUUACCAGAAAAGGGACGGCUAACUACGUGCCAGCAGCCGCGGUAAUACGUAGGUCCCGAGCGUUGUCCGGAUUUAUUGGGCGUAAAGCGAGCGCAGCGGUUUGAUAAGUCUGAAGUUAAGGCUGUGGCUCAACCAUAGUUCGCUUUGGAAACUGUCAAACUUGAGUGCAGAAGGGGAGAGUGGAAUUCCAUGUGUAGCGGUGAAAUGCGUAGAUAUAUGGAGGAACACCGGUGGCGAAAGCGGCUCUCUGGUCUGUAACUGACGCUGAGGCUCGAAAGCGUGGGGAGCGAACAGGAUUAGAUACCCUGGUAGUCCACGCCGUAAACGAUGAGUGCUAGGUGUUGGAUCCUUUCCGGGAUUCAGUGCCGCAGCUAACGCAUUAAGCACUCCGCCUGGGGAGUACGACCGCAAGGUUGAAACUCAAAGGAAUUGACGGGGGCCCGCACAAGCGGUGGAGCAUGUGGUUUAAUUCGAAGCAACGCGAAGAACCUUACCAGGUCUUGACAUCCCGAUGCUAUUUCUAGAGAUAGAAAGUUACUUCGGUACAUCGGUGACAGGUGGUGCAUGGUUGUCGUCAGCUCGUGUCGUGAGAUGUUGGGUUAAGUCCCGCAACGAGCGCAACCCCUAUUGUUAGUUGCCAUCAUUCAGUUGGGCACUCUAGCGAGACUGCCGGUAAUAAACCGGAGGAAGGUGGGGAUGACGUCAAAUCAUCAUGCCCCUUAUGACCUGGGCUACACACGUGCUACAAUGGUUGGUACAACGAGUUGCGAGUCGGUGACGGCAAGCUAAUCUCUUAAAGCCAAUCUCAGUUCGGAUUGUAGGCUGCAACUCGCCUACAUGAAGUCGGAAUCGCUAGUAAUCGCGGAUCAGCACGCCGCGGUGAAUACGUUCCCGGGCCU
rnacentral:rRNA from 1 species